UAAGGGCCACCACAAGAACGCGUGGAGCAUGUGGCUUAAUUUGACUCAACGCGGGAAAUCUUACCGGGUCCGGACACACUGAGGAUUGACAGGCAAUAUUAAUACUUUGCUUCGGCAUUGUAUUAUGUUAAAUAUGCUAGUCCUUUCAUGAUUAUGUGAUAGGUGGUGCAUGGCCGUUCUUAGUUCGUGGAGUGAUCUGUCUGCUUAAUUGCGUUUCACUAAGGGCCUAUAAAUUUACGUAUGUUGUAUCGCACUUUGACCCCUUUCUUUAAUUAGAAAGCGCGUGUCUUAGUUUCGCUUUGCUCAUACAAUUAGGUCCUGAAAGCAACGAACGUGACCGCAACCUCUUGUUGCCUUUAUACCAAACAUGUUUAUUCAUUUUUUAAUGUUCAUUCAUGAAAAAAGGCUUUUUAAACUAGAGGGACCGCUGUUACUUUCUUAAACCAGAGGAAGGUUGCGGCAAUAACAGGUCUGUGAUGCCCUUAGAUGUUCCGGGCUGCACACGUGCUACAAUGAUUAUUGCAGUGAGCAUCUCAUUUUUACACACCGCAUGCGCGAGUCCAUUUAUUCACCUUCGGGUGUUUUAAAUGUGUACCUCUGCGCGCGGUAAAGCCUGCUUCGGAAAGUAAGUGGGUAAUCAAUUAGAAGUAAUGAUUUCCUUUUUUAGCACACAUAUAUACGGCGUCUAUGCCCGGGUUACCUUGUUGUAGCUUUUGUGUGUAUAGAUGUUUUUUCCGUAUGUGCGAUUGUCAAUUCAUGGUGGGGACAGACCAUUGUUAAUUGUUGGUCUCGGUCUUAACUAGGAAUGCCUUGUACGGGUCUUUGGUUCAACAAACCACCCGGAAUACGUCCCUGCCCUUUGUACACACCGCCCGUCGCUCUUACCGAUGGACUUCUCUGGUGAGUUUGAGGGACUGGGAACGCAGGAAUUUAUUUCUGCACACCUAUGGAAACUUAAACGAACAGUGUGGUCUAAAGGAAAGAGAAGUCGUAAC
rnacentral:rRNA from 1 species